rnacentral:rRNA from 1 species
GAUGAACGCUAGCGACAGGCCUAACACAUGCAAGUCGAGGGGCAGCACAAGGAGCAAUCUGAGGUGGCGACCGGCGCACGGGUGAGUAACACGUAUGCAACCUACCUGUAAGAGGGGAAUAACCCGUUGAAAAACGGACUAAUACCGCAUAACACUGUAGAACCGCAUGGUUUGACAGUUAAACAUUUAUGGCUUACAGAUGGGCAUGCGCAUGAUUAGCUAGUUGGUGAGGUAACGGCUCACCAAGGCAACGAUCAUUAGGGGUUCUGAGAGGAAGGUCCCCCAACUGGUACUGAGACACGGACCAGACUCCUACGGGAGGCAGCAGUGAGGAAUAUUGGUCAAUGGGCGAGAGCCUGAACCAGCCAAGUCGCGUGAAGGAUGAAGGUUUUAUGAAUUGUAAACUUCUUUUGCUAGGGGAUAAAGUGUCCGACGUGUCGGAUUUUGUAUGUACUCUGCGAAUAAGGAUCGGCUAACUCCGUGCCAGCCUAGCCCGG